UACAGAGGUCUCAAGCGUUGUUCGGAUUCAUUGGGCGUAAAGGGUGCGUAGGUGGCGCUGUAAGUCGGGUGUGAAAUUUCGGAGCUUAACUCCGAAACUGCAUUCGAUACUGCCGUGCUUGAGGACUGGAGAGGAGACUGGAAUUUACGGUGUAGCGGUGAAAUGCGUAGAUAUCGUAAGGAAGACCAGUGGCGAAGGCGGGUCUCUGGGACAGUUCCUGACGCUGAGGCACGAAGGCCAGGGGAGCAAACGGG
rnacentral:rRNA from 1 species